UACGAAGGGUGCAAGCGUUAAUCGGAAUUACUGGGCGUAAAGCGUGCGUAGGCGGUUAUUUAAGUCUGUUGUGAAAUCCCCGGGCUCAACCUGGGAAUGGCAAUGGAUACUGGAUAGCUAGAGUGUGAUAGAGGAUGGUGGAAUUCCACGUGUAGCAGUGAAAUGCGUAGAGAUGUGGAGGAAUACCGAUGGCGAAGGCAGCCCCCUGGGCCAAUACUGACGCUCAUGCACGAAAGCGUGGGGAGCAAACAG
rnacentral:rRNA from 1 species